rnacentral:rRNA from 1 species
GAUGAACGCUGGCGGCGUGCCUAAUACAUGCAAGUCGAGCGAACAGACGAGGAGCUUGCUCCUCUGACGUUAGCGGCGGACGGGUGAGUAACACGUGGAUAACCUACCUAUAAGACUGGGAUAACUUCGGGAAACCGGUGCUAAUACCGGAUAAUAUAUUGAACCGCAGGGUUCAAUAGUGAAAGACGGUGUUGCUGUAACUUAUAGAUGGAUCCGCGCCGCAUUAGCUAGUUGGUAAGGUAAAGGCUUACCAAGGCGACGAUGCGUAGCCGACCUGAGAGGGUGAUCGGCCACACUGGAACUGAGACACGGUCCAGACUCCUACGGGAGGCAGCAGUAGGGAAUCUUCCGCAGUGGGCGAAAGCCUGACGGAGCAACGCCGCGUGAGUGAUGAAGGUCUUCGGAUCGUAAAACUCUGUUAUUAGGUAAGAACAAAUGUGUAAGUAACUAUGCACGUCUUGACGGUACCUAAUCAGAAAGCCACGGCUAACUACGUG